rnacentral:rRNA from 1 species
GACGAACGCUGGCGGCGUGCUUAACACAUGCAAGUCGAGCGGUAAGGCCCGUUUCGGGGGUACACGAGCGGCGAACGGGUGAGUAACACGUGGGUGACCUGCCCUCAGCUCUGGGAUAAGCCUGGGAAACCGGGUCUAAUACUGGAUAUGACUCCAUGACGCAUGUUGUGGGGUGGAAAGCCUUGUGCGGCUGAGGAUGGGCCCGCGGCCUAUCAGC